rnacentral:tRNA from 1 species
GGGUCCAUAGCUCAGUUGGUUAGAGCAACUGACUCAUAAUCAGUGGGUCGCAGGUUCGAGUCCUGCUGGGCCCA